rnacentral:rRNA from 1 species
ACGGGUGAGUAAUAUAUCGGAACGUGCCCUAGAGUGGGGGAUAACUAGUCGAAAGACUAGCUAAUACCGCAUACGAUCUAAGGAUGAAAGUGGGGGAUCGCAAGACCUCAUGCUCCUGGAGCGGCCGAUAUCUGAUUAGCUAGUUGGUGGGGUAAAAGCCUACCAAGGCGACGAUCAGUAGCUGGUCUGAGAGGACGACCAGCCACACUGGGACUGAGACACGGCCCAGACUCCUACGGGAGGCAGCAGUGGGGAAUUUUGGACAAUGGGGGCAACCCUGAUCCAGCAAUGCCGCGUGAGUGAAGAAGGCCUUCGGGUUGUAAAGCUCUUUUGUCAGGGAAGAAACGGUUCCAGCUAAUAUCUGGAGCUAAUGACGGUACCUGAAGAAUAAGCACCGGCUAACUACGUGCCAGCAGCCGCGGUAAUACGUAGGGUGCAAGCGUUAAUCGGAAUUACUGGGCGUAAAGCGUGCGCAGGCGGUUGUGUAAGACAGAUGUGAAAUCCCCGGGCUCAACCUGGGAAUUGCAUUUGUGACUGCACGGCUAGAGUGUGUCAGAGGGGGGUAGAAUUCCACGUGUAGCAGU